AUUGAACGCUGGCGGCAUGCUUUACACAUGCAAGUCGAACGGUAACAGGCCUUCGGGUGCUGACGAGUGGCGAACGGGUGAGUAAUACAUCGGAACGUGCCCAAUCGUGGGGGAUAACGCAGCGAAAGUUGCGCUAAUACCGCAUACGCCCUGAGGGGGAAAGCGGGGGACCGCAAGGCCUCGCGCGAAUGGAGCGGCCGAUGUCAGAUUAGCUAGUUGGUGGGGUAAAGGCUCACCAAGGCGACGAUCUGUAGCGGGUCUGAGAGGAUGAUCCGCCACACUGGGACUGAGACACGGCCCAGACUCCUACGGGAGGCAGCAGUGGGGAAUUUUGGACAAUGGGCGCAAGCCUGAUCCAGCCAUGCCGCGUGCGGGACGAAGGCCUUCGGUUGUAACCGACUUCUAGCCGGAAAGAAAUACGCUGACUUUAAUAGUAGGCAGUGGAUGACGGUACCGGAA
rnacentral:rRNA from 1 species